rnacentral:rRNA from 1 species
CCUACGGGUGGCAGCAGUGGGGGAUAUUGCACAAUGGGGGGAACCCUGAUGCAGCGACGCCGCGUGAGCGAAGAAGUACUUCGGUAUGUAAAGCUCUAUCAGCAGGGAAGAAAAUGACGGUACCUUACUAAGAAGCCCCGGCUAAAUACGUGCCAGCAGCCGCGGUAAUACGUAUGGGGCAAGCGUUAUCCGGAUUUACUGGGUGUAAAGGGAGCGCAGGCGGCCUGCCAAGUCUGGUGUGAAAACCCUGGGCCCAACCCCAGGCCUGCAUUGGAAACUGUCGGGCUGGAGUGUAGGAGGGGCAGGCGGAAUUCCUAGUGUAGCGGUGAAAUGCGUAGAUAUUAGGAGGAACACCAGUGGCGAAGGCGGCCUGCUGGACGAUGACUGACGCUGAGGCUCGAAAGCGUGGGUAGCAAACAGGAUUAGAUACCCGGGUAGUC